rnacentral:rRNA from 1 species
CCUACGGGAGGCAGCAGUGGGGAAUAUUGCACAAUGGGCGCAAGCCUGAUGCAGCAACGCCGCGUGAGGGACGACGGCCUUCGGGUUGUAAACCUCUUUUAGUAGGGAAGAAGCGAAAGUGACGGUACCUGCAGAAAAAGCACCGGCUAACUACGUGCCAGCAGCCGCGGUAAUACGUAGGGUGCAAGCGUUGUCCGGAAUUAUUGGGCGUAAAGAGCUCGUAGGCGGUUUGUCGCGUCUGCUGUGAAAUCUGGGGGCUCAACCCCCAGCCUGCAGUGGGUACGGGCAGACUAGAGUGCGGUAGGGGAGAUUGGAAUUCCUGGUGUAGCGGUGGAAUGCGCAGAUAUCAGGAGGAACACCGAUGGCGAAGGCAGAUCUCUGGGCCGUAACUGACGCUGAGGAGCGAAAGCAUGGGGAGCGAACAGGAUUAGAUACCCUGGUAGUCCAUGCCGUAAACGUUGGGAACUAGAUGUGGGGACCAUUCCACGGUCUCCGUGUCGCAGCUAACGCAUUAAGUUCCCCGCCUGGGGAGUACGGCCGCAAGGCUAAAACUCAAAGGAAUUGACGG